UACGGGGGGGGCAAGCGUUGUUCGGAAUUACUGGGCGUAAAGGGCGCGUAGGCGGCCAGCACAAGUCACUUGUGAAAUCUCCGGGCUUAACCCGGAGCGGCCAAGUGAUACUGUUGUGCUAGAGUGCGGAAGGGGCUACUGGAAUUCUCGGUGUAGCGGUGAAAUGCGUAGAUAUCGAGAGGAACACCUGCGGCGAAGGCGGG
rnacentral:rRNA from 1 species